UAACGCGUAAGAAAUCUACCUAUUAGAGGGGAACAACAAUGAGAAAUCAUUGCUAAUACCGCAUAUGCCAUAAACAUCGCAUGAUGAAAGUGGGAAAGGAGCAAUCCGCUGAUAGAUGAUCUUGCGUCUGAUUAGUUAGUUGGUGGGGUAAUGGCCUACCAAGACGACGAUCAGUAGCCGGACUGAGAGGUUGAACGGCCACAUUGGGACUGAGAUACGGCCCAGACUCCUACGGGAGGCAGCAGUCGGGAAUAUUGCGCAAUGGAGGAAACUCUGACGCAGUGACGCCGCGUGCAGGAAGAAGGUGUUCGGAUUGUAAACUGCUUUAGACAGGGAAGAGAAAGGACAGUACCUGUAGAAUAAGCUCCGGCUAACUACGUGCCAGCAGCCGCGGUAAUACGUAGGGAGCGAGCGUUAUCCGGAUUUAUUGGGUGUAAAGGGUGCGUAGACGGGAAUACAAGUUAGUUGUGAAAUACCUCGGCUUAACUGAGGAACUGCAACUAAAACUAUAUUUCUUGAGUGCAGGAGAGGUAAGUGGAAUUCCUAGUGUAGCGGUGAAAUGCGUAGAUAUUAGGAGGAACACCAGUGGCGAAGGCGACUUACUGGACUGAAACUGACGUUGAGGCACGAAAGUGUGGGGAGCAAACAGGAUUAGAUACCCUGGUAGUCCACACCGUAAACGAUGGAUACUAGGUGU
rnacentral:rRNA from 1 species